UGGGGAAUAUUGCACAAUGGGGGAAACCCUGAUGCAGCGACGCCGCGUGAGGGAAGAAGGUUUUCGGAUUGUAAACCUCUGUCUUUGGUGACGAAAGAUGACGGUAGCCAAAGAGGAAGCUACGGCUAACUACGUGCCAGCAGCCGCGGUAAUACGUAGGUGGCAAGCGUUGUCCGGAAUUACUGGGUGUAAAGGGAGCGUAGGCGGGAAGACAAGUUGAAUGUUUAAACUAUCGGCUCAACCGAUAAUCGCGUUCAAAACUGUUUUUCUUGAGUGAAGUAGAGGCAGGCGGAAUUCCUAGUGUAGCGGUGAAAUGCGUAGAUAUUAGGAGGAACACCAGUGGCGAAGGCGGCCUGCUGGGCUUUAACUGACGCUGAGGCUCGAAAGCGUGGGUAGCAAACAGG
rnacentral:rRNA from 1 species